rnacentral:rRNA from 1 species
AUGCUUAAUACUAGAGAUUUGCUUACCAGGAAAAGCUUCCAUAUUGAAUCUACUAAAUGUGUGUUAUGUGAGGAUGAACCAAACGAACAUCUAACUCAUCUGUUCUUUAGCUAUGAUUUUAGUCAGAACUUUUGGAUGGUUAUUGGUUUUCGAUGGAACACAGAUUAUGAGCUUAUGGAGAUGCUCUUGGAAGGAAAGAGGCAUAACAAUGAUGUUUGCUUCAAGGAAUGCCUAAUAGCAGGAUGUUGUAGUAUAUGGAUGCACAGAAACAUCAUCAUCUUUGAUCACAAAACUAAGAGCAUACUAUACUAAAUCAGUACAUUCAAGGAGCAUUUUGAGAUGAUCAUCAAAAAGGCCAAACCACGCUUAAAAGAAGGAAUGCAAAGAUGGCUAGAUUAUUUGUUGACUAUUUACUUUUUGUAA